GAUGAACGCUAGCGGCAGGCUUAAUACAUGCAAGUCGAGGGGCAGCACGGUUAGCAAUAACUGGUGGCGACCGGCGCACGGGUGCGUAACACGUAUACAAUCUACCUUAAACAGGGGGAUAGCCUUUCGAAAGAGAGAUUAAUACCCCGUAAUAAAUUGAACGGCAUCGUUUGAUUUUGAAAGCUCCGGCGGUUUGAGAUGAGUAUGCGUCUGAUUAGCUAGUUGGUGAGGUAACGGCUCACCAAGGCGACGAUCAGUAGGGGAUCUGAGAGGACUAACCCCCCACACUGGUACUGAGACACGGACCAGACUCCUACGGGAGGCAGCAGUAAGGAAUAUUGGUCAAUGGAGGCAACUCUGAACCAGCCAUGCCGCGUGCAGGAUGACGGCCCUAUGGGUUGUAAACUGCUUUUGCCAGGGGAUAAAAUUUCCAUGCGUGGAAAACUGAAGGUACCUGGUGAAUAAGCCACGGCUAACUACGUGCCAGCAGCCGCGGUAAU
rnacentral:rRNA from 1 species